GAUGAAUAACGUAGCGAAAUGCGAUAAGUAAUGUGAAUUGCAGAAUUCAGUGAAUCAUCGAAUCUUUGAACGCACCUUGCACCCUUUGGCAUUCCGAAGGGUAUGCUCGUUUGAGUGUCAUUGUACUCUCACACUCUCCGAUCCUAUGGAUUCGGGGAGCGGUGGACUUGGGUGUUGCUGCCUUUCCUUGUGGCUCACCUCAAAUGUGUCAGUGCACCUCUUGGUUGGACAUAGUACGGCGUGAUAAGUGUCUUCGCCGGCACCUCGCAAGAGGGUGGCCGAUCGGGAGCUCUGUGCUUUCAAACCGUCUUCGGACAAUUUCUGACAACUUGACCUCAAAUCGAGUAGGACUACCCGCUGAACUUAAGCAUAUCAAUAAGCGGAGGA
rnacentral:misc_RNA from 1 species